AAUGCCUAGGAAUCUGCCUGGUAGUGGGGGACAACGUUUCGAAAGGAACGCUAAUACCGCAUACGUCCUACGGGAGAAAGCAGGGGACCUUCGGGCUUGCGCUAUCAGAUGAGCCUAGGUCGGAUUAGCUAGUUGGUGAGGUAAUGGCUCACCAAGGCUACGAUCCGUAACUGGUCUGAGAGGAUGAUCAGUCACACUGGAACUGAGACACGGUCCAGACUCCUACGGGAGGCAGCAGUGGGGAAUAUUGGACAAUGGGCGAACGUGAUCCAGCCAUGCCGCGUGUGUGAAGAAGGUCUUCGGAUUGUAAAGCACUUUAAGUUGGGAGGAAGGGUUGUAGAUUAAUACUCUGCAAUUUUGACGUUACCGACAGAAUAAGCACCGGCUAACUCUGUGCCAGCAGCCGCGGUAAUACAGAGGGUGCAAGCGUUAAUCGGAAUUACUGGGCGUAAAGCGCGCG
rnacentral:rRNA from 1 species